UAUAUCUAUGUUCAUUAGUAAAAUUAAAAGAUACAAAAAUAUGGUUAAAAUUCUCAAAUUUAUUUAUGCUAUAAUUUUGUUUUUGUCCUUAUUCUUUCUUUCAGUGAAGGCUAUCGUUCCAUGUGAAACUGAUGAAGAUUGUUCAAAGGCGUAUAUUAACGAGAAUAUGUUUGGUAGCCUUCUCGUGUGCCGUAAUAAAGAAUGUUGUUUGCUUGUGUUUUAUGAAUAAUAUAUCUUAUGUUUCACAUGCUGCCAUCAGUCCUGCAUCAAAUCCAACAGUUAGGAGAUUUUAAAGGAAGGAAAUAAAUUUAAGAAAAUUGCAUUGUGAAAAAAUAAGUGUUGGAAAUUGAAGCUGGGCAGAGGGCAGGAGAGAAAAAAAAAAGAGACGAUCUGGAUCCAAUAACCUUAAGAUUGUGGAGUUUUGUCUUAUAGUGCAAUAACACUACUACAAAUUAUGAUUUUAUGACAGAAGUUUACAUCUCGAAUAAUAAACGAAGGAGGAUAUAAGUCCUAGAAGCGCCAUGUAUUAUUUUUAUUUAUUUAAAAUGAAUAAUUUUUUUUAUCAGGUUUUAAGAAAAACAAGGAAAUAUAGUUAUAAGGAAGCUCGCUU